rnacentral:rRNA from 1 species
CUCAUAGGCGGCUGGUCGCGUCUGUCGUGAAAUCCUCUGGCUUAACUGGGGGCUUGCGGUGGGUACGGGCCGGCUUGAGUGCGGUAGGGGAGACUGGAACUCCUGGUGUAGCGGUGGAAUGCGCAGAUAUCAGGAAGAACACCGGUGGCGAAGGCGGGUCUCUGGGCCGUUACUGACGCUGAGGAGCGAAAGCGUGGGGAGCGAACA